CAAGAUGAAUGUCAUAAAAGAAGUUAGAAAUGGAUAUGUGUCAAUAUUUAAGCUCAAGUGUGAUAUGUGUAGAGGAACAUACGAUCUGCAAACGACAGCCACAAACCCGAAUCAAGAUGCUGUUCUGGGGGUGAUAAUGACAGGGGCAGGUUACAGUGCUCUAGCGCAGCUUUCAACAUGCUUAGAAACUCCUUUUUCCAUCUCAACGGACAUAUCGAAUUCAGGAAGAUAUUCUUGGAGAAACUUUUGAAACAAUUUCUUUGAAAUCUAUGAGACGAGCUGGUGAGAUGGAAAAGAAUUUAGCUAUAGAAGCAGGUGAUCUCUCACCUGAUGGGGUUCCUAUAAUUACUGUCAUAGCGGAUGGGUCUUGGGCCAAAAGAUCAUAUAGAUCCAAUUACAAUUCUCUUUCAGGAGCUGCAGCAAUUAUAGGCUGUAGAACUAAACAGGUCCUUUUUAUUGGCAUAAAAAACAAAUAUUGUACAAUUUGCCAACUCUCAAAAAAUCAAGGACACAAUCAGAUGUCUAAAAGGCAUAAAUGCUUUAAAAACUUUGAAGGUUCUUCAACGAGCAUGGAAGGCGAUAUUUUAAAAGAAGGAUUUCUCCAUAGUUUAGAGCAACAUGGAUUAAUCUACCAUAAUAUAAUAGCUGACGGAGACAGCAAUUCUCUGAAAAAAAAUUUAGAUGCUCAUCCAUAUAAAAAUGACAUUGUGAAAAAAAUUGAGUGCAGAAAUCACCUUCUACGAAAUUACUCCCGGAAAAUUCGAGAUUUAGGUAAAGACGUCAAUGCUGGGCCAUUAGUUCUUCGGAAGCAAAUAAGCAAAGAACAGCUAAGAUUACGAUAUGCAGUUACAAAAGUUAUCGAACAUAGAAAAAAUUAGGGUGUUCCGAUGUUAGAAAAAAUAAAGUUGUUAAAACAAGACAUAGACAAUUCUAUUAGCCACGUUUUUGGAGAACACAAACUUUGUGCAGAAUUGGGAUAUUUCUGUCAUGCGCAAUAUAAACCCAGUGGUAGCAUAUUAUCAGACUUAAAAAUGACAGACCUAUACGACAAAUUAUAUAGCUUUGUCAGCUAUCUUUCAAGAAAUAGCGUGAGUUUAAUACAAGAUGUUGACAAUAAUGUAUCGGAGCAAUUUAACUCAAUCAUUGCAAAAUUUAUUGGCGGAAAACGCAUUAAUUAUUGCCAACGAGGAUCAUAUCAGGCUCGCUGUUUAGCUUCUGUAAUUUCUCAUAAUACUAAAAAGCCUAUAUACACGAUUAAAAAAUUCCUUAAUCAUAAAAG